GUGAACGCUGGCGGUCGGCCUAACACAUGCAAGUCGAACGGCAGCACAGUAAGAGCUUGCUCUUACGGGUGCGAGUGGCGGACGGGUGAGGAAUACAUCGGAAUCUACUUUUUCGUGGGGGAUAACGUAGGGAAACUUACGCUAAUACCGCAUACGACCUACGGGUGAAAGCAGGGGAUCUUCGGACCUUGCGCGAUUGAAUGAGCCGAUGUCGGAUUAGCUAGUUGGCGGGGUAAAGGCCCACCAAGGCGACGAUCCGUAGCUGGUCUGAGAGGAUGAUCAGCCACACUGGAACUGAGACACGGUCCAGACUCCUACGGGAGGCAGCAGUGGGGAAUAUUGGACAAUGGGCGCAAGCCUGAUCCAGCCAUACCGCGUGGGUGAAGAAGGCCUUCGGGUUGUAAAGCCCUUUUGUUGGGAAAGAAAAGCAGCAGGUUAAUACCCCGCUGUUCUGACGGUACCCAAAGAAUAAGCACCGGCUAACUUCGUG
rnacentral:rRNA from 1 species